GUGCUUGCUUUGGUAGCACAUACACUAAAAACCCUCUAACAAUACAAAGAUGAGCAUGGCCCCUGCGCAAGGAUAGCAUGCAAACUCAUGAAGUGAUCCAUAUUUAA
ensembl:snRNA U6 U6 spliceosomal RNA